CUACGGGGGGCUGCAGUGAGGAAUAUUGCACAAUGGGGGGAACCCUGAUGCAGCAACGCCGCGUGGAGGAUGACGCAUUUCGGUGUGUAAACUCCUUUUAUAUGUCAAGAAAAUGACGGUAGCAUAUGAAUAAGCACCGGCUAACUCCGUGCCAGCAGCCGCGGUAAUAGCGGAGGGUGCAAGCGUUACUCGGAAUCACUGGGCGUAAAGGACGCGUAGGCGGGUUGGAAAGUCAGGUGUGAAAUCCUACAGCUUAACUGUAGAACUGCACUUGAAACUUCUAAUCUAGAGUAUGGGAGGGGGAGAUGGAAUUAGUGGUGUAGGGGUAAAAUCCGUAGAUAUCACUAGGAAUACCUAAAGCGAAGGCGAUCUCCUGGAACAUUACUGACGCUAGGGCGUGAAAGCGUGGGGAGCAAACAGGAUUAGAUACCCCAGUAGUC
rnacentral:rRNA from 1 species